UUUUUUACUGAUGAUACGUUGACAUUACACCAACACAAUAGAGUUUAUCAUAGGAUAUUGAUUGAUCACAUGCCAAAUAAGACUCUUUAUGUAGAUAGAGUGGUAUCAAGGCUAUGGACGUACACUUCUCGGUCACUUUUUUAACAGUUGCAUUGGGUCCCCCAUUUGUGACAAAUAAGAAAUAAUCAAUCACACAAACAGAAAUUCCUCGCUCUUGGAAACAAUGAAUGGCUAAUUAGCAAAAACAGGAUCGGACGAAGCUGGAACACAAAAUUAGGGUUUCACCAGUGUCGCCGCAAUGCUUUGCAAGAAUUGGCAUU
rnacentral:lncRNA from 1 species